UGUAAACUGAUGAAUGGAUAAGUAAACGAUCACGUAUGUUCAGAGAGCCGGGUUGCUGGGAGCCGGUCGUAAACGAGUCGUUGAAUAUGGUCCUGGAGGUUUAAUUUUCGAGUGCAGUAAUUGUGCAUAAGGGAAUUACGUGUGUCAGCGUUAAUGACAAGUUGCUAACGAUUAAUGUUAGUGCUGUUGAGCUUCUUAGAAGUAGGUGUAGGAACGAGUAUGUUCUGGCGAUGCUAUGGAUAAGAAGGAAGCAGGGUGGUACCACGUGAGUAAUCCUCUCGUCCCUUCG
rnacentral:ncRNA from 1 species